GUCCAAACAGUAUCAGGUUCACAUCAAGUACACAGUGAUCUUUUCAUGUAGAGCAAAGAUCCUCUUUUUAUCACAGAGGGUAAAAAAACCUCUGGCUCCCACAGAGAUACAAUGUGGGAAUGUUAUUCAUCCCUACUAGACCUUUCAGUGCCAUUCAAAACUUCUGUUGGUCAGCAGUAAUUGUGCCCACUGCCCCUGUACCAGUAGGCAUUCUCACCCUGUAUACGGCUAGCACUACCCACUCCUCACCUACGGGUUCUCAACCCCACCAUGCCAUGUUAUUCUUUCAAUCGACUACAGUACCUCCUGUCUUGGGCUUGAACUCGUUUGGACUGUGAAUUAAAGAUGUCUUUAAAGAGACGGCUGCUGUCCAUGUUGUUGGGCUGUGUCUACUGCGUGGCUUCGCUCUUCUGCUUCAACCCCAACAACUGUGUCUCCAUUAGCACCCGGAAUCUCAUGACAGUUGUCCAGCAGCUGUACCAACGAGUCACGAGGCUUAUGCACACCACUUUGUGAUCUUGUGGAGCUCGUUAACACUCAUCAUCCUCAA